GACGAACGCUGGCGGCGUGCUUAACACAUGCCAGUCGAACGGAAAGGCCCUGCUUUUGUGGGGUGCUCGAGUGGCGAACGGGUGAGUAACACGUGAGUAACCUGCCCUUGACUUUGGGAUAACUUCAGGAAACUGGGGCUAAUACCGGAUAGGAGCUCCUGCUGCAUGGUGGGGGUUGGAAAGUUUCGGCGGUUGGGGAUGGACUCGCGGCUUAUCAGCUUGUUGGUGGGGUAGUGGCUUACCAAGGCUUUGACGGGUAGCCGGCCUGAGAGGGUGACCGGCCACAUUGGGACUGAGAUACGGCCCAGACUCCUACGGGAGGCAGCAGUGGGGAAUAUUGCACAAUGGGCGGAAGCCUGAUGCAGCAACGCCGCGUGCGGGAUGACGGCCUUCGGGUUGUAAACCGCUUUCGCCGGUGACAAAGCGUGAGUGACGGUAAUGUGUAAAGAAGCACCGGCUAACUACGUG
rnacentral:rRNA from 1 species